rnacentral:rRNA from 1 species
GGACCCGCACAAGUAGUGGAGCAUGUGGUUUAAUUCGAAGAUACGCGCAGAACCUUACCAACACUUGACAUGUUCGUCGCGACUCUAAGAGAUUAGAGUUUUCGGUUCGGCCGGACGAAACACAGGUGCUGCAUGGCUGUCGUCAGCUCGUGUCGUGAGAUGUUGGGUUAAGUCCCGCAACGAGCGCAACCCUCACUUUUAGUUGCCAUCAUUAAGUUGGGCACUCUGAAAGAACUGCCAGUGAUAAGCUGGAGGAAGGUGGGGAUGACGUCAAGUCCUCAUGGCCCUUACGUGUUGGGCUACACACGUGCUACAAUGGUAUCUACAACAGGAAGCAAGACUGCGAAGUUAAGCAAAUCCCUAAAAGAUACCUCAGUUCGGAUUGCACUCUGCAACUCGAGUGCAUGAAGCUGGAAUU